CCUACGGGUGGCAGCAGUGGGGCAUAUUGCACAAUGGUGGAAACCCUGAUGCAGCGACGCCGCGUGAGUGAAGAAGUAUUUCGGUAUGUAAAGCUCUAUCAGCAGGAAAGAAGAAAGACGGUACCUGACUAAGAAGCCCCGGCUAACUACGUGCCAGCAGCCGCGGUAAUACGUAGGGGGCAAGCGUUAUCCGGAUUUACUGGGUGUAACGGGAGCGUAGACGGAUGUGCAAGUCUGAAGUGAAAGCCCAGGGAUCAACCCUGGGACUGCUUUGGAAACUGUGGAGCUAGAGUGCUGGAGAGGUAAGUGGAAUUACUAGUGUAGCGGUGAAAGGCGGAGAUAUGAGGAGGAACACCAGUGGCGAAGGCGGCUUACUGGACAGUAACUGACGUGGAGGCUCGAAAGCGUGGGGAGCAAACAGGAUUAGAUACCCGAGUAGUC
rnacentral:rRNA from 1 species